rnacentral:rRNA from 1 species
GACGAACGCUGGCGGCGUGCUUAACACAUGCAAGUCGAACGGAAAGGCCCUGCUUUUGUGGGGUGCUCGAGUGGCGAACGGGUGAGUAACACGUGAGUAACCUGCCCUUGACUUUGGGAUAACUUCAGGAAACUGGGGCUAAUACCGGAUAGGAGCUCCUGCUGCAUGGUGGGGUUUGGAAAGUUUCGGCGGUUGGGGAUGGACUCGCGGCUUAUCAGCUUGUUGGUGGGGUAGUGGCUUACCAAGGCUUUGACGGGUAGCCGGCCUGAGAGGGUGACCGGCAACAUGGGGACUGAGAUACGGCCCAGACUCCUACGGGAGGCAGAAGGGGGGAAAAUGGAAAAAUGGGCGGAAGCCGGAGGAAGCAACGCCGGGGGCGGGAUGACGGCCUUCGGGUUGUAAACCGCUUUCGCAUGUGACGAAGCGUGUGUGACGGUAAUGGGUGAAGAAGCACCGGCUAACUACGUG